ACAACAUUUGGACCGUCGGUCUACCGAGCAAUAUUAUCACCCGCUCGGUGGAAGAUCUUCCCUUUGUCAU
rnacentral:pre_miRNA from 1 species